GAACGGCCUGGGAGAAUACCCACCAAGUACUGGGUUAAGAAGAGAGGAUACCAAAGUCCCCCACACCUUUGCCUCCCUCCUUCCCACGCUCCCCAACUAAGAGAAACAUGUGUUCAUCAUUCCUCAGACAGAAGAUUUCCUGGAAAUGUUUUUGUUUGAAAACAAAUGUUUUUGUUUGAAAACCUCACUGCUCAGAGCUAAGAACAGAGGACGAGUCCCGCUAUUAAGGAAUAAACCUUGUGAAGCAGGCGGUGGUGGAAGCCACCGUCUGCUUCCUGUAUAGUGGAGAAUCUGAUUUGGGGUCUGUGAUUUGAAGGACGGUAUUCCCAGAUUCGGUGUCAUUUUCCCCUGGCCAGUCUCCCUUCCUCUUUUCUUAUACCUCAUGAGGGAAAAUGAACAGCCACAGCCAUAGAGAAGUGAAAUCCAUCGGCUAUGCCCAGUUUCUGCCCAAUAUCCUUAGUUGUUAAUGUCAUUCAUUUUUUUGGAAGCCACUUCAAACCCUUUUUGGAAUAAAAAUAGUUAUUAUACAUAA